CUGUCUGCUCCUCUCGCCUCCGCUGCAUGACCCACUGCCUUUCUUUCUUCAGUUGGAGCUGAUCACAACCCAGGCCACAAAGCGCGGGCUUCUCCGAGUGGCAUGGUGGUGGACUACCCUAACAGUGCCAAAGCAAAGAAAUUCUACCUCUGCUUGUUUUCUGGGCCUUCGACCCUUUAUACCAGAGGGGCUGAGUGAAAAUCAGGAUGAAGAUGAACCCAGGGAGUCUGUGUUCACCAAUGAGAGGUAAAGCAACUGCUGAACCCUGCCCCGGCUGCAGCGGGGGCUGCCACAUUUGUUAGACGUGGACUUUCUGCCCUCACCCAAGCCUCUCAGGUCCAAUGCAGCAGGGACACCAAGGUGGUGGUAGAAACACCAGGGCCCCGUUUGGACUGUGCCUGUUUGGG
rnacentral:lncRNA from 1 species